GUAUGGAGUGAUGAAAGAGUCGACGGUGACAUUUUCAAGUUUGAUUGGCGUGGACUAUCGGAAUGAAGAUGACUGCAGGAAUGGUUUGUUUGAUUAUUGGCCUAUCAAACGUUUUCCAGUCAUUUGAUGAUGCCACCACUUGGGAUAGUAAGCUGCAAAUAUAGACUUGUACUCAGCACGUAUUGCCUUUGAGAAGUAAGGGAUCCUUUUGACACUGAAUCUCGGUGUAUGCGGUCUCAUUGGAGUAACCCGUCUGAAGCAUUUAGCUAUGGGAUUGGAACCUGUGAUGUGUGACUGUCAUCAGAGUACUGAAAUUUGAUUCCAAGCACGAUCAUGAUUUGCCAGAAGAGCAUCUGUUGGGGGAUGACAAGGAAUAAACAGCAUAAUGAAAUUGAAACAUUCAUGUGAAUCAGUCUGUCUUAGUUUAUGAUAUUGACUUUAAAUAUUCAUAUUUAAAUUUUGAUUUGAGAAACAGACAUAAAUCCACAAAUAUGAACAAAUCAAUUGCUUUCAGUUUUUCAAGAGAAAUAGAUUUUGUUACAGAGUCUAUCUUUAGUUUGGAAUAAAUAUUCUUUUUAAGUAUGUGUCAGAUCUUGCAUGUAAACAUCUGUUUUGAGGUCUUCCGUUUCCAAGAGAAGACAUACCAGUUCUAAUAGUUAAGGUUAUAAAUGUGUGUAAAUAUUUGUAUUUUUACAGUAUAAUUGAUUGAUUGAUUGUUUACUGUUUAACGUCCCUCUCCAGAAUAUUUCACUUAUAUGGAGACGUCACCAUUGCCGGUGAAGGGCUGCAAAUUUAGGCCUAUGCUUGGCACUAAUGGCCUUUAAGCAGGGAGGGAUCUUUAUUGUGCAACACCUGCUGUGACACGGGGCCUCGGUUUAUACGGUCUCAUCCGAAGAACCGCCCCAUUAAGUCGCCUUUUACGACAAGCAAGAGGGUACUGAGGACCUAUUCUAACCCGGAAAGGUUUUUGCUAUUUGAGUCAAAGAAAUAAAGAAUGGUAGCAAAGUUGACAAUUGAAACAUUUCACUUUCUGCUUAUCGCUAAGAAGGAAGACCCACUCGUUGCUUUGCAACGAGCUUUGCUCUAGUUCUUCUUAUUU